GGGGGUUGUUGGUGGGAGGAUAGGCCCAUUGCCUAUCUACAGUUCUCUACCUUUGUAUCUAAUCAACUAGAACUUCAAAAUUCUCUUUACCCAUAAGAUAAUUGCUGACACUUUGACACGGAGUGGAUUUCAUAACUUCAAUGCUAGGCUUUGGGGCCGUAAACUGCCAGGCCUGUGGCCAAGUUCAGGGAAGAAAAGGUUAUUAGCUGCUAGUCAAUUGCUAUAAAUUGGUCAUGGAAAAAAGUUGAUGAACAAAGCUAAAAUAUUAUUGGACUUUUUUCCCUGACCAUUUCAUAAAAUUCUGAAAUUUGUUUGUUUACUUGGAAUUUUAGCAUUUUGCUUAUGCAAUGUAGAUACAACUGAUUGAUAAUCUCUCUUUCCCUCUCAGUCAAUUAGUUUUGUUUCUUCCUUUCUUUCUGAAAGGUUAGAGGCCUAUAUAAUAUGAAAGAGUCCAAAUGUCCAAUUUCCAGUGUAACAAAUACCUCAAACAUAAGCUGCUAACCAAAAAUUACUUCCAUGAGAAAUUACUUCAAACCCCUCACAACUUCUCCAUCUGCCCCCAAAUGUGCUAUCUUCAAACAAAUGAACACGUUAAUUACUAUUCUGACAUGAGUUUGAAGAGUGGAAUGCUCCACUUGUUAGUGCCUUGUAGCCACCUAUUAGCUUUGUCAAAAUUUUGUUAAGCAGAUGCAUUUAGGGCUCGUGCAUAGUUAUCUUGUUAAAACCUAGCCUUACUCUGAAUGGAUGAUUUGUUUUGUUAGGUUCUCAGGUUAAAAUACUAAAAAUUAUCUUUACUGAGUGUACAGUUUGGUGGACUUGUAUUAUUUGUUUGCAUGAACAUUCAGAAUGAUUAUAGUUGCAAGAAUAUGUUCUCAGCAAUGUGCAUAUUCUUCCUUUGAUGCCAGUUAGAAGAGAAAAAAAAAUGAAAUCCCUAAUGUUUUCGAUGUUUCCUCUUUGGUAGGUAAAAAUAUAUUAGCAGUUGGUUUUUCUCCUGUAUUUAUGCUCUUUCCUUUUUUCAUUCUAGUUAGUAAUGAUAGCCUGUUCCCAUACUUUUCAUCUUUGGACCUUUUAGACCCUGUGAAUUGUAGAGGAGACAGCAGGGGGGAAGUAUACCCAUAUAAUGUUCAUCUGUUUAAAGGAUUUGGAUUCGAUAUACUGGAGCCAAAAUAAUAUAUUGUUCAAAGUAUUAUUUACUAUUGCAUGCAUCUCCUAAUAUAAGCAAGAAGUUUGUCACAUACUCCUCUUUUUUUUU
rnacentral:misc_RNA from 1 species